CGAAUUGUAGUUUAGAGAAGUAUUUUCUGGGGUAGCUCGGGCAUAGGUCCUUUGGAAAGAGGCGUCAUAGAGGGUGAGAACCCCGUCUGUGGUCCGAAGUCUGCUCCUUUGUGAUAUACUUUCAAAGAGUCGAGUUGUUUGGGAAUGCAGCUCAAAAUGGGUGGUAAAUACCAUCUAAAGCUAAAUAUUGGCAAGAGACCGAUAGCGAACAAGUACCGUGAGGGAAAGAUGAAAAGAACUUUGAAAAGAGAGUUAAACAGUACGUGAAAUUGUCAAAAGGGAAACGCUUGAAAUCAGUGUUGCGACCAGUAAUCAGCCGUUCUUCGAACGGUGCACUUGCUGGAAGCAGGUCAACAUCAGUUUGAUCUGGAGUAAAAAGCUGUCGGAGCCAUCCUUGUGGUGGAACUGCAGUCAUGCUUUGGAUUGGACUGAGGACUGCUAACAGGAUGUUGACGAAAUGGUUUUAAACGACCCGUCUUGAAACACGGACCAAGGAGUCUAACAAAUAUGCGAGUAUUCGGGUG
rnacentral:rRNA from 1 species